UGACAACUGCUCUGCAAAGCAAGUUUGGUCCCACCAGGUCUAGUUUGAGUGUUUGCACACAGCUUCACUUUGAAGUUUCCUCUUGAGCCUCCCACACUCCUCAUGAAAAUGAACUACAAGCAAUAAGUCUUCACUUCCUUUUGAACUUGAGAAGAUGUCAUUGCAUCUUACUACCCAGCUGAUGCUGUACUCCAGCGGCACAUUGACUUGAAAGUUAAUCAUAGUUCUGGCCCCAGAUGGUUACAGUGAGUCUACUUCUCUGUCUGUGGGAGUCCUAAAGGAUACUUGAUAGCUGUCCAACAUCUCCUGUGAUCAAGACUCAGUCCCUGUGGUGCCCAGCUGCUCAUUUUUGCCCAGACAUUCUUCAGGUCUCCAUCAUUUGUCUCAAAUUCCAUGGGAAAGGGACUGGGGGAGGUCACUCCCAUGCUUCACAUAUGAGGUACAAAUUAAAUUACUUUUUACCUGUCCUACUUAAUAUAAAUCAAAUAUUUCCUUUUUGUAGA
rnacentral:lncRNA from 1 species